GACGAACGCUGGCGGCGUGCUUAACACAUGCAAGUCGAACGAUGAAGCCGGAGCUUGCUCUGGUGAAUUAGUGGCGAACGGGUGAGUAACACGUCAGUAACCUGCCCUUGACUCUGGGAUAACUGCGGGAAACUGUAGCUAAUACCGGAUACGACCCUCGGAGGCAUCUCCUGGGGGUGGAAAGAAUUUCGGUCAAGGAUGGACUCGCGGCCUAUCAGCUAGUUGGUGAGGUAAAGGCUAACCAAGGCGACGACGGGUAGCCGGCCUGAGAGGGUGACCGGCCACACUGGGACUGAGACACGGCCCAGACUCCUACGGGAGGCAGCAGUGGGGAAUAUUGCACAAUGGGCGCAAGCCUGAUGCAGCAACGCCGCGUGAGGGAUGACGGCCUUCGGGUUGUAAACCUCUUUUAGUAGGGAAGAAGCGAAAGUGACGGUACCUGCAGAAAAAGCACCGGCUAACUACGUGCCAGCAGCCGCCGUAA
rnacentral:rRNA from 1 species